rnacentral:rRNA from 1 species
GGGAGGCAGCAGUGGGGAAUUUUGGACAAUGGGCGCAAGCCUGAUCCAGCCAUUCCGCGUGCAGGAUGAAGGCCUUCGGGUUGUAAACUGCUUUUGUACGGAACGAAACGCUCUGGGUUAAUACCCCGGGGUAAUGACGGUACCGUAAGAAUAAGCACCGGCUAACUACGUGCCAGCAGCCGCGGUAAUACGUAGGGUGCAAGCGUUAAUCGGAAUUACUGGGCGUAAAGCGUGCGCAGGCGGUGAUGUAAGACAGGUGUGAAAUCCCCGGGCUUAACCUGGGAACUGCAUUUGUGACUGCAUCGCUGGAGUGCGGCAGAGGGGGAUGGAAUUCCGCGUGUAGCAGUGAAAUGCGUAGAUAUGCGGAGGAACACCGAUGGCGAAGGCAAUCCCCUGGGCCUGCACUGACGCUCAUGCACGAAAGCGUGGGGAGCAAACAGGAUUAGAUACCCCGGU